UCAGCAACUGCGUGACGCUAUCAUGUCAAUAUGGACCAAAGUCUCUGUUUCCAACACCUUGUCGAAAAUAUGGCACAAGGAAUUAAGGCAGUUUAAAUUUAGUUCCACCCCGGUACUAGCAAGGUGUACCCAAUAAAGUGAGUGAGUGUAUAUUGUAAAAGGAUUAGGCUAGUGGGGGCUAUAGCCUCGUCACAAAUCUGCAUAGGCCCAAUUAAGCACCCUCAAGCAGUUUUUUGAUCAAGAAGUCAAGACACGGACAAGUCAGGCCAAGACCCUGUCUCUGAGGGGGGCAAAGAAGGAGAAAAGAAAGCAGUUAGAAACAUUUGAGGGAAACUCCUGAGCCAAGACAUGAGGAUGAGCAUGUGGUUGAUAUAGAUGUACCCAAAUCUACACUGGUUGCUGACACUACACUUAUGUCAGCAACAGGUGAAGAAGCAAAGAUGUUAACUAGUAAAAGGCAACAGACAUAUUCUCUUCUUCCAUUUCUCCUCUGUUGAACAAAUGUUACUGUAAUGUUAGCUUUUAGACACAUCAAAGCUGCAUGGGGGCAAUUUACUGAGGCCAGACUUUUGCUCAUGUAAAUGUGUGAUAAAGUUAUACCAUAUCUAAUUCCUCCCCCUAUUAGAUAAGUUGCACGUCCAAAGUAUGCUAUUUAAUUACACUAAUUACUGUUGGUUCAAUCCGAGUGUGAUUUUACUCUGUAGUUUGUCUUACAUACAAUCAAACAAUAACUUUAUCAUGUAAGCUGUUGAUAAGGAUCCUUUUUAAUGUGGCUACUGUCUGAAUUUCAUAAUCUGAUGGCGGAAGGAAUAAAAGAUUUGGAGUAAUGAUUACUGUA